UACAGAGGUCCCAAGCGUUGUUCGGAUUCACUGGGCGUAAAGGGUGCGUAGGUGGUCAGGUAAGUCUGAUGUGAAAUCUCUGGGCUCAACCCAGAAACUGCAUUGGAUACUAUCUGGCUAGAGGAGUGGAGGGGGGACUGGAAUACUUGGUGUAGCAGUGAAAUGCGUAGAUAUCAAGUGGAACACCAGUGGCGAAGGCGGCUUUCUGGUCUGCUCUUGACGCUGAGGCGCGAAAGCUAGGGUAGCAAACGGG
rnacentral:rRNA from 1 species